rnacentral:rRNA from 1 species
CACGUAGGGACCAAGCGUUGUCCGGAUUCAUUGGGCGUAAAGAGCUCGUAGGCGGCUUGGCAAGUCGGGUGUGAAACCUCCAGGCUCAACCUGGAGACGCCACCCGAUACUGCCAUGGCUAGAGUCCGGUAGGGGACCACGGAAUUCCUGGUGUAGCGGUGAAAUGCGCAGAUAUCAGGAGGAACACCGGUGGCGAAGGCGGUGGUCUGGGCCGGCACUGACGCUGAGGAGCGAAAGCGUGGGGAGCGAACAGG